GCCUUCGUGGUGUAGUAGUCAGCACACUCGAUGCGUAACCGAGAGGUCCGUGGUUCGAUUCCUUGCGAAGCCA
rnacentral:tRNA from 1 species